rfam:Tritrichomonas foetus strain K scaffold_278, whole genome shotgun sequence.
AGUUCUGUGGACCGAGUGGUCGAAGGCAGCUGACUAAGUAUCAGUUUAUCAUGGGUUCGAAUCCCAUCAGAACUA